ACCGGUUCGGUUUUGGUAUGUCU
rnacentral:siRNA from 1 species